UCUUCCGCAAUGGACGAAAGUCUGACGGAGCAACGCCGCGUGAGUGAUGAAGGUUUUCGGAUCGUAAAACUCUGUUGUGAGGGAAGAACAAGUACCGUUCGAAUAGGGCGGUACUUUGACGGCACCUAACCAGAAAGCCACGGCUAACUACUUGCCAGCAGCCGCGGUAAUACGUAGGUGGCAAGCGUUGUCCGGAAUUAUGGGGCGUAAGGCGCGCGCAGGCGGUUUCUUAAGUCUGAUGUGAAAGCCCACGGCUCAACCGGGGAGGGUCAUUGGAAACUGGGGAACUUGAGUGCAGAAGAGGAGAGUGGAAUUCCACGUGUAGCGGUGAAAUGCGUAGAGAUGUGGAGGAACACCAGUGGCGGAGGCGACUCUCUGGUCUGUAACUGACGCUGAGGCGCGAAAGCGUGGGGAGCGAACAGG
rnacentral:rRNA from 1 species